rnacentral:rRNA from 1 species
GACGAACGCUGGCGGCGUGCUUAACACAUGCAAGUCGAACGGCAAGGCCCUGCUUUUGUGGGGUGCUCGAGUGGCGAACGGGUGAGUAACACGUGAGUAACCUGCCCUUGACUUUGGGGUAACUUCAGGAAACUGGGGCUAAUACCGGAUAGGAGCUCCUGCUGCAUGGUGGGGGUUGGAAAGUUUCGGCGGUCGGGGCUGGACUCGCGGCUUAUCAGCUUGUUGGUGGGGUAGUGGCUUACCAAGGCUUUGACGGGUAGCCGGCCUGGGAGGGUGACCGGCCACAUUGGGACUGAGAGACGGCCCAGACUCCUACGGGAGGCAGCAGUGGGGAAUAUUGCACAAUGGGCGGAAGCCUGAUGCAGCAACGCCGCGUGCGGGAUGACGGCCUUCGGGUUGUAAACCGCUUUCGCCUGUGACGAAGCGUGAGUGACGGUAAUGGGUAAAGAAGCACCGGCUAACUACGUG